rnacentral:rRNA from 1 species
AGAGUUUGAUCCUGGCUCAGGAUGAACGCUAGCGAUAGGCCUAACACAUGCUAAUGUCGAGGGGCAGCACAUGAGUAGCAAUACGAUGGUGGCGACCGGCGCACGGGUGAGUAACACGUAUGCAACCUACCUCUAACAGGGGGAUAACCCGUUGAAAGACGGACUAAUACCCCAUAAUACAGGGGCUCCGCAUGGAGAUAUUUGUUAAAGAUUUUAUCGGUUAGAGAUGGGCAUGCGUUCCAUUAGCUAGUUGGUGAGGUAACGGCUCACCAAGGCGACGAUGGAUAGGGGAACUGAGAGGUUUAUCCCCCACACUGGAACUGAGACACGGUCCAGACUCCUACGGGAGGCAGCAGUGAGGAAUAUUGGUCAAUGGAGGCAACUCUGAACCAGCCAAGUCGCGUGAAGGAUGAAGGUCUUAUGGAUUGUAAACUUCUUUUGCAGGGGAAUAAAUAGCGGUACGUGUACCGUUUUUGCAUGUACCCUGCGAAUAAGGAUCGGCUAACUCCGUGCCAGCAGCCGCGGUAAUACGGAGGAUCCGAGCGUUAUCCGGAUUAUU